AUGCAGUCCGACGGUGAACACGGAGCUUGCUCCUGUGGGAUCAGUGGCGAACGGGUGAGUAACACGUGAGCAACCUGCCCCUGACUCUGGGAUAAGCGCUGGAAACGGCGUCUAAUACUGGAUAUGUGACGUGAUCGCAUGGUCUGCGUCUGGAAAGAAUUUCGGUUGGGGAUGGGCUCGCGGCCUAUCAGCUUGUUGGUGAGGUAAUGGCUCACCAAGGCGUCGACGGGUAGCCGGCCUGAGAGGGUGACCGGCCACACUGGGACUGAGACACGGCCCAGACUCCUACGGGAGGCAGCAGUGGGGAAUAUUGCACAAUGGGCGCAAGCCUGAUGCAGCAACGCCGCGUGAGGGACGACGGCCUUCGGGUUGUAAACCUCUUUUAGCAGGGAAGAAGCGAAAGUGACGGUACCUGCAGAAAAAGCGCCGGCUAACUACGUGCCAGCAGCCGCGGUAAUACGUAGGGCGCAAGCGUUAUCCGGAAUUAUUGGGCGUAAAGAGCUCGUAGGCGGUUUGUCGCGUCUGCUGUGAAAUCCGGAGGCUCAACCUCCGGCCUGCAGUGGGUACGGGCAGACUAGAGUGCGGUAGGGGGAGAUUGGAAUUCCUGGUGUAGCGGUGGAAUGCGCAGAUAUCAGGAGGAACACCGAUGGCGAAGGCAGAUCUCUGGGCCGUAACUGAC
rnacentral:rRNA from 1 species